CAGGACCAUCCUCCCAGGGUUAGUCGAGACCUAAGCCGAGGCUGCGAAGCGUAGGUGAUGGCAAACGGGUUAAUAUUCCCGUACCGAUGUGGGUUGUUGAAGCGGGCAGGGACGGAGAAGGCUAGUUGCACCAGACAUUGGAUGUUCUGGUCUAAGCUUGUAGGCUGACGCUAUACGAUUAAAAGGUAGCGUCAUUAAGGCCGAGAAGUGACGGGCGUGGAAGUCUUCGGACGGACACUAAGCAAUGAUGCCAUGCUUCCAAGAAAAGCUGCACGUUGAGAUUCACAUUGCUCGUACCGUAUACCGACUCAGGUGGGUAAGGAGAGAAUCCUCAGGCGUUUGAGAGAAAUUGAGUGAAGGAACUCUGCAAUAUAACACCGUAACUUCGGGAGAAGGUGUGCCCUUUUUGGUCAUGAACUUCGCGUUCAGAAGCUGAGAAGGGUCGCAGCGAAACGGGGGCGCCGACUGUUUACCAAAAACACAGGUCUCUGCAAAGUCGUAAGACGACGUAUAGGGGCUGACGCCUGCCCGGUGCUGGAAGGUUAAAGGAAUAUGUUAGGGUUAAACCGAAGCAUUGAACUGAAGCCCCAGUAAACGGCGGCCGUAACGAUAACGGUCCUAAGGUAGCGAAAUUCCUUGGCGGGUAAGUUCCGUCCUGCACGAGGGCGUAACGAGUGCCCCACUGUCUCCACUCAGUCCUCAGUGAAAUUGAACUCCCGGUGCAGAUGCCGGGUUACCGCGGCAAGACGGAAAGACCCCGUGAACCUUUACUGUAACUUGGCAGUGAGUGUCGGUUUUUACUGUGUAGAAUAGGUGGGAGACGUUGAUCUUAGGGCGCUAGCUCUGAGGGAGUCACCAGUGAAAUACCACCCUGUGAAAACUGGCUCUCUAACCUCGACCCGUUAUCCGGGUCAGGGACACUGUCUGGUGGGCAGUUUGACUGGGGCGGUCGCCUCCCAAAGUGUAACGGAGGCGCGCGAAGGUUGGCUCAGGCGGAUUGGAAACCCGCCGUAGAGUGCAAUGGCAUAAGCCAGCUUGACUGCGAGGACGACAGACCGAGCAGGUGCGAAAGCAGGUCAUAGUGAUCCGGUGGUUCUGUAUGGAAGGGCCAUCGCUCAACGGAUAAAAGGUACUCCGGGGAUAACAGGCUUAUCCUGCCCAAGAGUUCACAUCGACGGCAGGGUUUGGCACCUCGAUGUCGGCUCGUCACAUCCUGGGGCUGAAGUCGGUCCCAAGGGUACGGCUGUUCGCCGUUUAAAGUGGCACGCGAGCUGGGUUCAGAACGUCGUGAGACAGUUCGGUCCCUAUCUGCCGUGGUCGUUGGAAAUUUGAGAGGACUUGUCCUUAGUACGAGAGGACCGGGAUGAACACACCUCUGGUGCAUCGGUUGUGCCGCCAGGUGCAGCGCCGAGUAGCUAAGUGUGGAAGAGAUAACCGCUGAAAGCAUCUAAGCGGGAAGCUCGCCUCAAGAUUAGAUUUCCUAGGAGGUUAACUCCUCUAAAGAGCCGUUCUAGACUAGGACGUUGAUAGGUUGGGGAUGGAACC
rnacentral:rRNA from 1 species